UGAAAUGUUGUUGUCGGAACUGGCUUUUAAUUCUAAGCCUAUCAUUACUGACCUUACCAUCAUUGCUGGCGAACAGAGAGAACAUGGUGAAGGCAUUGCUCAUGCGAUUUGUAAUCGGAUUUUAGAGGUCCCAGUUGAGCAGAAACUACCUGCAUUAUACCUUCUGGAUAGUGUUGUAAAAAAUAUUGGCAAGGACUACAUCAAGCAUUUCUCUGCCCAUUUACCUGAGGUUUUCUGUGAGGCAUAUAGGCAAGUGCACCCUAGCAUGCAUCCUGCAAUGCGCCACCUCUUUGGGACAUGGUCAACUGUGUUCCCAGCACCUGUUCUCCAGAAAAUUGAAACUCGUCUUCAGUUUUCACAGCCGGGGGUCCAACAAUCUUCUGGCUUGACUUCGUCAAGAGCAUCUGAAUCACCGCGACCAGCUCAUGGCAUUCAUGUAAAUCCAAAAUAUUUGGAAGCAAGGCGUCAGCUUGGGCACUCCACUAUUGAUUCAGUAAGAGCUGAAAAUUCUACAGGUCAUAUAUCUUCAGAUCUGGAAGCCAAGCAAGUUCUG
rnacentral:misc_RNA from 1 species